GAGGAUAUAGCUCAAUGGCAGAGUGCUUGUCUACCAUGCGUGAGGCCCUGGGUUCAAGUCCCAGCACUUCCC
rnacentral:tRNA from 1 species